rnacentral:lncRNA from 1 species
UUCAAAGGACUCCUUUUCCUUUGGAUAUUUUUCUUUGCUGAAGUGCUUCGUGACGCAACACUACAUGAGAGAUGCCUUCAGCCCCCGUCUCUUUUGCUGCUUGCCUGCUGUGUUGGGUGCGACGCGGAGAACCUCGCUGAGUCGCAGGAGUGCCACAGUUAUAUGACCAAGGAAGAAAAAACAAUUCAGACAACCAGUCACUCUACAGAACAUUGCAUAGGAGAUGAGUGGAUCAGACAGACUGGUUAGACGGUAGAAGGGUCUUGUGAUGAGAGAGGAAUGGAAAGUUUUAAUGAAGAAUUUCAAAAUUUCAUCUUGAAUCGCAAACUUUUGUUUUGAACGAAGGAAGAAAAAUGUUGAGACUAUAACAUACGACUUAUCCGGUGUGAAAUAAAGCUGUGGUUUAUGAGCA